ensembl:lncRNA
AGCUAGAAGAAUAAGAAGAAGAGUAAGAAUGAGAGGGGGAGCUCAAAGAGGAGAUGAAGGAGGAAGAGGAGGAUAAUUAGGAAGAGGCCUAGGUAGAGGAAGAGGAGAAGGAGAAUAAGGAAGAGGCCUAGGUAGAGGAAAAGGAGAAGGAGGUGGAGGAAGAGGUAGAGAAGGACUUGAAGAGUUGAUAGAACCUGAACAAAGAAGACGAGGACCAAAUUUGACUCAAGAAAUCCGUGCAACACUUACUGACCAUGUUAUCAACUAUGGACUGACACUGAUGGAAGCUGGACAAAGUUCAACCAAAUCUCAGUAAAAAUACUGUUGCGUAAGUAAUUCGGACAUUUCAUCGAGAAAACAGGAUUGAGGGUCGAGGACACCAAGGUGGAAGGGGCCCUAUGUUCACUCGUGCACAAUUGUUGAAUCCUCAAGAAAAAUCAAAUAUACAUGAAGCAACUGUAUCGGGUACCAUUUGACUGAAAUUCAGAGAGUGUGAAACAUCGGUGCAAUGAGUAUUUGGAGAGAUUCUUGCAAAUGGAUGCUGCAGAAAUUCUACAUGAAUUUAUAUAUGCGGAUGAGGCUGGAUUUAACCUUGCGAAAACAAGAAGAGGGAGUAAUAUAAUUUGACACAGGGCAAUCACCAAUGUUCCAGGGCAUCGAGGGGCAUGGCAGUGGAAGGUGGACCUGUGGCCCUAUGACCAUUUGCCCUUCGUUCAGGCCAUGGAGCAGGCCUGUGAUCAUAUCGAAGCAGCUUCUGUGCAGGGGUGGAUUCGUCACAUGAGGCGAUUCUUCCAAUGGUGCCUUGCUAAUGAAGACAUAGCCUAUGAUGUGGAUGAAAUCUUAUGGCCUGAUCCAGCCAGACAGAGAUGAUGAAUAGUUACAGUAUUCUUUUUGCUUUUUACAUGGUUUUUCUUCAGAGUCAAAGUGUAUGUACUUCAUGCAGUAAUUUUUAUUUGUCUACAGAUUUUGUUUAAUUGAUUUCAUUGUAACUGAUUAUGGUAAGAAAUACUGUAAGUAUUGUCUGUAACAUCAGUGUUGUGCAGUGUUUGGUAAGUUUAUAGUAGGCUUAUUUGUAUACAUUCUCCCUAUAUCUCAAACUAUUUAUGAAGAAUGUUGUGGGUUUUUCACUUUUUUUUUUUUUUUUCAUCUAAAUUAUCCCUUUACAUAACAAUGGCUGGCCAAAAAUCUAGCACAUGCUAUUUCCUAAAAUUAUUUAUUUAUUUAUUUUUUUUUUACAAAUGUUUAUUUAUCACAGCAGUGUGAAACUGGCUGCAAUUGUGUCUGAUCAUUGAGGACUGUGUUGGUUAAAUGAAAACUAAUAGCAUUUUCACAAAUAUGUGUAUAUGUUUUGACUGACGUGUGUAAUUUUGCAAACAAUCUAGGAAUUAUGCAAAUUGAGUGUGGUGUUUGGAUAAUUGUGAUUAUAUUUUUAAAAAAAG